GUGUCAGCAGCCGCGGUAAUACGUAGGCAGCGAGCGUUGUUCGGAGUUACUGGGCGUAAAGAGUGCGUAGGUGGUUCUCUAAGUUUGGUGUGAAAUCUCCCGGCUCAACUGGGAGGGUGCGCCGAAAACUGGAGGACUAGAGUGUGGGAGAGGAAAGCGGAAUUCCUGGUGUAGCGGUGAAAUGCGUAGAUAUCAGGAGGAACACCUGCGGUGUAGACGGCUUUCUGGACCACUACUGACACUGAGGCACGAAAGCGUGGGGAGCAAACAGGAUUAGAUACCCUGGUAGUCCACGCCCUAAACGAUGCACACUUGGUGUGAGCCAUUCAUUUGGUUCGUGCCGGAGCUAACGCGUUAAGUGUGCCGCCUGGGGAGUACGGUCGCAAGGCUGAA
rnacentral:rRNA from 1 species